CAACCAGAACAGAAACCGACAGAAUCGAUCGUUGUCUACUCUUGUUUCAACUAGUUUUAAUACAAUAUACAUUUCAGUUGAACGAAACAUCGAUUUGCCGUAUUGUGAUUCCGCCAGGUUACUUAAUCAUGUAUUGAGAAGACACUUGGCAAGAAAUGGAAACAAAACUGAAGGAAGAAGAUAAUAAUAA
rnacentral:misc_RNA from 1 species